rnacentral:misc_RNA from 1 species
GAUGAAGAACGUAGCGAAAUGCGAUAAGUAGUGUGAAUUGCAGAAUUCAGUGAAUCAUCGAAUCUUUGAACGCACAUUGCGCCCUUUGGUAUUCCAAAGGGCAUGCCUGUUCGAGCGUCAUUUGUACCCUCAAGCUUUGCUUGGUGUUGGGCGUCUUGUCUCUAGCUUUGCUGGAGACUCGCCUUAAAGUAAUUGGCAGCCGGCCUACUGGUUUCGGAGCGCAGCACAAGUCGCACUCUCUAUCAGCAAAGGUAUAGCAUCCAUUAAGCCUUUUUUUUCAACUUUUGACCUCGGAUCAGGUAGGGAUACCCGCUGAACUUAAGCAUAUCAAUAAGCGGAGGA